rnacentral:rRNA from 1 species
UACGUAGGGGGCAAGCGUUGUCCGGAAUCAUUGGGCGUAAAGAGCGUGUAGGCGGCCUGGUAAGUCCGCUGUGAAAGUCCAGGGCUCAACCCUGGAAUGCCGGUGGAUACUGUCGGGCUGGAGUCCGGAAGAGGCGAGUGGAAUUCCUGGUGUAGCGGUGAAAUGCGCAGAUAUCAGGAGGAACACCAAUGGCGAAGGCAGCUCGCUGGGACGGUACUGACACUGAGACGCGAAAGCGUGGGGAGCAAACAGG